GGAGCGCUUACAAAUUUGUUGACUCACCCAUAUGGGUUAACAUACAUAUAUAUAUAUAUAUGUAUAUAUGUUAACCCAUAUGGGUGAGUCAACAAAUUUGUAAGCG